GGGUCAUUUCAAAGAGGGUUUGUGGGCAUAUGGAAACAGCUAUGACUGGAGACUACAGCUCCCUGCAGGACAUCUCCACAAAAUAGUGCUGUUUUCCUGAAGGGAGGAAAGG
ensembl:snoRNA